CCAAUCCAGUAAUUAUCAGCCCAAAAACUACAUGUUUAUUGUCCAACCUACAUGAAGUAAAUAUAAUGCAUUCCAAAUAUUAUCUAGAAGUAGAUAUAAAGUGAUUGUACCAGUUGGUAGGUUGAAAUGUUAUGAAAAACUGGCUUCCAUUUGUAUUUGGACCUGGAUGACGAAUUAUAACAAUUAAGUAAAUUAAUCAGGUGCACUCAUCUCCUCGAGUACCCUUCGAAGUUUUGUUUUACCUGAGAACAAAUGACAUUCUUCCUACAGUGAAUUUCCCAAUUUUAAUGUCCAAGUAGACUUGAGGAUUCUUAGGAGUUCUGACAACUGGUCCAGGGUCACCUUCUUUAUCUUCAUUCGUCGCAUCCUUAGUGGGAUCCUUUCCGACACCCAAGGUUUCUCCAGCAUGCUUUUGCAGCCAGCUAUCGUCUUGCCAGACAGGCCGAGUUGAAAAUUCUCUAACUUUCAUGGGCUUGGCCAUAUUUACUCGAAUUGUCUAUAUAAACAUUCCACAACUUCAACGUUUAUUUAUCAAGGACAACUAAGUUUCCCAAACGAGCGUUUAGUUAUUUUAUGAGCCAUUUAAAUAAUAUGCGUUCAUUGCCAAAUAAUAUAAUAUCAAAAAUUAAUGAAUUUGGAAUGAAGGGGGACAAAAUUUGUCAAGUUCGUGUGCAAUUGAAAGGGGGAUCGCGAAAAGAGAAAUCUUAAGUUUUCUAGAAAUAAUUGAUCUCCUCAAAAUAUAACUCGAUACUAAUUUAAAUGAAAAUAAACUGUAAUGCCCAUGUAAA